CUUUUGCAUGAUGUUCUUCAUACUUCACUUGUAUUUGUUGCUGUGUGUGGCCAAAAUAAAUUCAAGGUUGUAAUAUAGAUGUUUACACGAGGCGGUAUGAUUCACACGAGUGGACAAACCCAAGUGACUUUAAAGAGAUUGCUCACUUACUAUUAAUUUUUCCAGGGGGUGUCUGAAGCUCAUUCCUCAUGAGAAAUUCUCUUUUGCAACAUUAUGGCUUCUAGCUGCUCAAUUUGAGAUCCAACAGCUAAAUCUCAAGGCUGCAUGACAAAUCUUGGGAAAUGCAAUUGGCAAAGCUCCUAAAGAUAAGAUAUUCAAGAAGUAUAUUGAGAUAGAGCUUCAGCUUGGAAAUAUAGACCGUGGCCGAAAGCUUUAUGACAAGUAUUUGGAGUGGGCGCCUGAAAACUAUUAUGCAUGGAGCAAGUAUGCAGAGUUAGAGAGAUCUUUGUGUGAGACUGAGCGAGCUAGACAUAUGAGAACAUCUUCCGUUAGUUCUAAAAUAGGGUUUAGGUAGAGUUAUUGUAUGUAUUGCAAACAAUUAUUGUAUGGAAGGAGUUUGAAUUGGAUACUUGUUUUAUUUUUUACUUGUGGAAUGUAUGGAUCUUUUUUUUAUAAA